rnacentral:misc_RNA from 1 species
CCCAAGUGCAUUGAGAAUGGUCU